ACCGGAGAGCCGGCUAGAUAUGGCGUCCUCUUUGCUUGCGGGCGAGCGAUUGGUGCGUGCUUUGGGCCCCGGCGGGGAGCUGGAGCCAGAGCGGCUACCCCGAAAGCUGCGGGCCGAGCUUGAGGCCGCGCUGGGGAAGAAGCACAAGGGCGGUGAUAGCUCCAGUGGCCCCCAACGCUUGGUUUCUUUCCGUCUCAUCCGGGAUCUGCACCAGCAUCUGAGAGAAAGGGGAUGGCAAAAGCUGUGUUGAAAGAUCUGGCCUGAGAGUAGCAUGUGAGUUCCAGUCCUAGCUCUGUCACUAAUCCUUUGAAGGAGUCAUUUCUCCUCGCUGGGCCUCAGUUCCCUUAUGUGUAAAGGGAAGGAACAGGACAAACUAGCACAUAAG
rnacentral:lncRNA from 10 species